GCUCAAAUUUUAAAUCUGGCGGUCUCAGGCCGUCCGAGUUGUAAUCUAGAGAAGUGUNAUCUGUGCCGAACUGCAUGUAAGUCUCCUGGAACGGAGCGUCAUAGAGGGUGAGAAUCCCGUCUWUAAUGCAGACUCCCGGUGCUCUACGAUGCGCUCUCAAAGAGUCGAGUUGUUUGGGAAUGCAGCUCAAAAUGGGAGGUAAAUUCCUUCUAAAGCUAAAUAUUGGCGAGAGACCGAUAGCGAACAAGUACCGUGAGGGAAAGAUGAAAAGCACUUUGGAAAGAGAGUCAAACAGUACGUGAAAUUGUUGAAAGGGAAACGCUUGAAGUCAGUCGCGUCUUCUGGGAUUCAGCCUUGCUUUUGCUUGGUGCAUUUCCUAGUUUGACGGGUCAACAUCGAUUUCGACCGUUGGAUAAGAGUUUGAGGAAUGUGGCACCUCCGGGUGUGUUAUAGCCUCUUAUUGUAUACAACGGCUGGGAUCGAGGAACUCAGCAUGCCAUUAUGGUCGGGGUUCGCCCACGUAA
rnacentral:rRNA from 1 species